GCCCCAGUCCCGGUCCACUGCGUACCCCUUCCCUGACCUGGACCUUUCCGGGCCGUGUGCUUCUAGUCGUCCUCUCCUCGAGGUGCCCCGCUGUGACCAGCAGACCUGCACACAGACGCAAGACAGGAUAAACAUCUGGGAAGCACAGGUAUAUGAGACACAGAAAAACAAGGCACUGUGGAUGCCUCUUCUGUCUGGACAGAAAACUGGAGUCAGGAGACCUCUCUGAGUCCCCAGAGAGAAUCAUCACUACUGUGUGUCCUUGGAUGUCAAGGCUGUCCCUUACAGCAAUGGAGCUGUAAUAACCAUCGAGUUGACUCCUCCACCUUCCAGUCCCAGAGAGGGAAUUCUCCUCCCCAGCCUCGCGGUCAACGUUUUUCUCUACGCACGGGAACGGCAGAGGGGGGUUACUUCCACUGUCUCACUACUGGGGCGUCCCCAGCCCACCAUC